AUCCUUUUGUAGUUCGUGCGUGUGAUGAUUGGGUUUUCACGCUCACGUGUGAGAUGUGUCUCCCUCAAACCUUGUUACAACGUCGGCACAUUACCUAUCUGAUG
rnacentral:snoRNA from 1 species